CGGAGGGUGCAUGCUUUAUUUGAAUUUUCUGGGAAAAACGCGCGCGUCGGUGUUUGGUUAAGUUAAAUGAAAAAUCCCCGGGCUCAACCGGGGAGGUGCAUCCAAAACUGGCAAGAUAGAGUAUGGUAGAGGGUGGUGGAAUUUCUUGUGUAGCGAGAAAAGGCGUAGAUAUAGGAAGGAACACCAGUGGCGACGGCGUAUUACCUGGUUUGUUCUCGCCACUGAGGUGCGACAGCGUGGGGAGCAAACAGGAUUAGAUCCCCUGGUAGCCCACGCCGUAAACGAUGUAAAUUAGCCGUUGGGAGUCUCAAAGUAUUUGCGGCGCCGCUAACGCAUAAUGUAGCCCGCCUGGGGAGUACGCCCGCACAGGUUAAAACUCAAGGGAUUUGACGGGGGCCCGCACAAGCGGCGGAGCAGGUGGUUAAAUCCGAAGAAACGGGAAGACCCUUACCCCCCCUGGACAUCCAAGGAACUUUCUAGAGAUAGAUCGGUGCCUUCGGGAACAGUGAGCCAGAUGCCGCACGGGUGUUGUCAACUGGCCUUGCGUGACGUUGGAAAAAGUCCUGCAAUGAGAGCACCCUUUGCCCUCAGUUACCAGCAGGUAAUGGUGGGCACUCCCAGGGGACUGCCGGCGCCAAACCGGCGGACGGUGGGGGUGAGGUCAGGUCAUCAGGGCCCUUGCGGCUGGGGCUCCACACGGGCCACAUUGGUCGGUACACAGGGUUGCCACGCCGCGUGGCGGAGUUAAUCCCAUAAAACCGAUUGUAGUCCUGGAUCGCGGUCUGCAAGUCGACUGCGUGAAGUC
rnacentral:rRNA from 1 species